rnacentral:lncRNA from 1 species
AAAAAGCUUAAACCUACCUGAAACUCCCCCCUAAUUAGCCGCCAUGACUGGGAAUAUACUAUUGGUUACAAGAAAACUACAAACCCACUUCGUCCUUUGAAUUCAUAUAAUUCCCUUUAUGAUAAUCCCUUGAAUAAUGAACUCAGACAAAAUCGUUGCAGCAAUAAUGGAAGCAGCACUAUUUGUGAAGCACUUGGUGUUCAUUUACUUCAAAAUCAACUAGUUAUACCUAAUAACAAAGAGGAUGCUGCAACAAAUAGACCUUUUCGAGAGUUUGGAUUGACGUUGGUGAUAUAAUUUUUGUUUGAAGAAAAGAAAAAAGAGGAAGAAAAAAAAGGUAUUCAUAUGUAUGAAAUUUGAUAUUGUCGAGAGUUUUUAUGCCACACCAUAUACAUAUGUAUGAAAUUUGUUGUUACUUCAUCUCAUAUACAUAGCAUUAUUAUGUAUAUAAGUCCAUUUAUUAAAUUCGUUAUGCAUAUGUCGUGAAACAAACACUGGUGGACUAUUUAUUUCAGAUCAUAUACAUUACAAAGUUAUGUAUAUGUUACGCAUUGACAGUGUUAUACUUAGCUCAGUUAUGUAUAUUAAUCUAUAUAUACAUAAUUUUGUUAUGUAUACCAUUGAAACAAGCACUUUUGGAUUGUUGUAUUUUCAUAACAUAUACAAGAGUUAUGUAUAUGUUAUGCAUUAACAGUGUUAUACGUGACACAAUUAUGUAUAUGACUCUGUUAGACAAGCCGAGAUGUGUUUAUUUCAGCCUAUAUAUGUAGCAUUCUUAUGUAUAUGAAAGAAUAUUAGGCAUGAAUAUUGAGCAUUGUUUUAUGGUUUCAAGAAUUGAAAUUUUUUAUUUAAGUUUUGUUGCAUAUUAAACUAAUAUUGAUUUGCAAUGUAUAUUAUUACAGGGGACGCAAUGCGGAUGCAAUUGCCAAAAUCAACCCGAAAUUCCUCAAUCUCUAAAUCUGAUCGUUGAAAUUGAAUUGAUGUUUCAAAAUUUUAAAAUUGAAAAGUUGUUACUGAAUUUAAGAGAUUCAUUAACCAAAUUUCAUAAAUAUAGAGUUAAUUGGGUUAUGUAUUUAAUGUAGAUAUUUUAUUUCUUUUAUUAUAGUUAAAUUAGUUAGUUCAAAAA